rnacentral:tRNA from 2 species
GCCCUCGUAGCUCAGCUGGAUAGAGCAAUCGCCUCCUAAGCGAUAGGUCACACGUUCGAAUCGUGUCGAGGGCGCCA